AUGAACGCUAGCGACAGGCUUAACACAUGCAAGUCGAGGGGCAGCGGGGGUAGCGAUACCCGCCGGCGACCGGCGCACGGGUGAGUAACGCGUAUGCAACUUGCCUAUCAGAGGGGGAUAACCCGGCGAAAGUCGGACUAAUACCGCAUGAAGCAGGGGCCCCGCAUGGGGGUAUUUGCUAAAGAUUCAUCGCUGAUAGAUAGGCAUGCGUUCCAUUAGGCAGUUGGCGGGGUAACGGCCCACCAAACCGACGAUGGAUAGGGGUUCUGAGAGGAAGGUCCCCCACAUUGGUACUGAGACACGGACCAAACUCCUACGGGAGGCAGCAGUGAGGAAUAUUGGUCAAUGGCCGAGAGGCUGAACCAGCCAAGUCGCGUGAGGGAUGAAGGUUCUAUGGAUCGUAAACCUCUUUUAUAAGGGAAUAAAGUGCGGGACGUGUCCCGUUUUGUAUGUACCUUAUGAAUAAGGAUCGGCUAACUCCGUGCCAGCAGCCGCGGUAAUACGGAGGAUCCGAGCGUUAUCCGGAUUUAUUGGGUUUAAAGGGUGCGUAGGCGGCCUUUUAAGUCAGCGGUGAAAGUCUGUGGCUCAACCAUAGAAUUGCCGUUGAAACUGGGGGGCUUGAGUAUGUUUGAGGCAGGCGGAAUGCGUGGUGUAGCGGUGAAAUGCUUAGAUAUCACGCAGAACCCCGAUUGCGAAGGCAGCCUGCCAAGCCAUGACUGACGCUGAUGCACGAAAGCGUGGGGAUCAAACAGGAUUAGAUACCCUGGUAGUCCACGCAGUAAACGAUGAUCACUAGCUGUUUGCGAUACAUUGUAAGCGGCACAGCGAAAGCGUUAAGUGAUCCACCUGGGGAGUACGCCGGCAACGGUGAAACUCAAAGGAAUUGACGGGGGCCCGCACAAGCGGAGGAACAUGUGGUUUAAUUCGAUGAUACGCGAGGAACCUUACCCGGGUUUGAACGCAUUCGGACCGAGGUGGAAACACCUUUUCUAGCAAUAGCCGUUUGCGAGGUGCUGCAUGGUUGUCGUCAGCUCGUGCCGUGAGGUGUCGGCUUAAGUGCCAUAACGAGCGCAACCCUUGCCACUAGUUACUAACAGGUAAAGCUGAGGACUCUGGUGGGACUGCCAGCGUAAGCUGCGAGGAAGGCGGGGAUGACGUCAAAUCAGCACGGCCCUUACAUCCGGGGCGACACACGUGUUACAAUGGCGUGGACAAAGGGAAGCCACCUGGCGACAGGGAGCGAAUCCCCAAACCACGUCUCAGUUCGGAUCGGAGUCUGCAACCCGACUCCGUGAAGCUGGAUUCGCUAGUAAUCGCGCAUCAGCCAUGGCGCGGUGAAUACGUUCCCGGGCCUUGUACACACCGCCCGUCAAGCCAUGGGAGCCGGGGGUACCUGAAGUCCGUAACCGAAAGGAUCGGCCUAGGGUAAAACUGGUGACUGGGGCU
rnacentral:rRNA from 1 species